ACGGCAUACCGUUUUGACUCAAAAAGGGUGAAAGGCAUAUGGGGGUAGAAACCAAGCACUACAAUUUUGUUCAGAGCUAACCUUGCAGUCGGGUUGUUUGAGGAUGCAGCCCAAGUGGGUGGUAAACUCCGUCUAAGGCUAAAUACUUGCACGAGUCCGAUAGUGAACAAGUACUGUUACAG
rnacentral:ncRNA from 1 species